rfam:Schistosoma haematobium scaffold436_25, whole genome shotgun sequence.
AGCUUUCUAAAUCCGUGAAGAGAUUUCAUUAGAUACCAACCCAUUAGGGCUAUUCAAACUUCCAAAAUAAGUGAAGUU